UACGUAGGGACCGAGCGUUGUCCGGAAUCAUUGGGCGUAAAGAGCGUGUAGGCGGCCAGAUAAGUCCGCUGUGAAAUCUCGAGGCUCAACUUCGAGCUGUCGGUGGAAACUGUCUGGCUAGAGUCCGGAAGAGGAGAAUGGAAUUCAUGGUGUAGCGGUGAAAUGCGCAGAUAUCAGGAGGAACACCGAUGGCGAAGGCAGGUCUCUGGGCUGACACUGACGCUCAUGCACGAAAGCGUGGGGAGCAAACAGG
rnacentral:rRNA from 1 species